AACGAACGCUGGCGGCAGGCUUAACACAUGCAAGUCGAACGCCCCGCCAGGGGAGUGGCAGACGGGUGAGUAACGCGUGGGAACAUACCCUUUUCUACGGAAUAGCUCUGGGAAACUGGAAUUAAUACCGUAUACGCCCUACGGGGGAAAGAUUUAUCGGGGAAGGAUUGGCCCACGUUGGAUUAGCUAGUUGGUGGGGUAAAGGCCUACCAAGGCGACGAUCCAUAGCUGGUCUGAGAGGAUGAUCAGCCACAUUGGGACUGAGGCACGGCCCAAACUCCUACGGGAGGCAGCAGUGGGGAAUAUUGGACAAUGGGCGCAAGCCUGAUCCAGCCAUGCCGCGUGAGUGAUGAAGGCCUUAGGGUUGUAAAGCUCUUUCACCGAUGAAGAUAAUGACGGUAGUCGGAGAAGAAGCCCCGGCUAACUUCGUG
rnacentral:rRNA from 1 species